UUAGCCUGCUGGUCUUACUGAGUCUAUAGGAACAUUAGCCUGCUGGUCUUACUGAGUCUAUAGGAACAUUAGCCUGCUGGUCUUACUGAGUCUAUAGGAACAUUAGCCUGCUGGCCUUACUGAGUCUAUAGGAACAUUAGCCUGCUGGUCUUACUGAGUCUAUAGGAACAUUAGCCUGCUGGUCUUACUGAGUCUAUAGGAACAUUAGCCUGCUGGUCUUACUGAGUCUAUAGGAACAUUAGCCUGCUGGUCUUACUGGGUCUAUAGGAACAUUAGCCUGCUGGUCUUACUGAGUCUAUAGGAACAUUAGCCUGCUGGUUUUACUGAGUCUAUAGGAACAUUAGCCUGCUGGUCUUACUGAGUCUAUAGGAACAUUAGCCUGCUGGUCUUACUGGGUCUAUAGGAACAUUAGCCUGCUGGUCUUACUGAGUCUAUAGGAACAUUAGCCUGCUGGUCUUACUGAGUCGAUAGGAACAUUAGCCUGCUGGUCUUACUGAGUCUAUAGGAACAUUAGCCUGCUGGUCUUACUGAGUCUAUAGGAACAUUAGCCUGCUGGUCUUACUGAGUCUAUAGGAACAUUAGCCUGCUGGUCUUACUGAGUCUAUAGGAACAUUAGCCUGCUGGUCUUACUGAGUCUAUAGGAACAUUAGCCUGCUGGUCUUACUGGGUCUAUAGGAACAUUAGCCUGCUGGUCUUACUGAGUCUAUAGGAACAUUAGCCUGCUGGUCUUACUGAGUCUAUAGGAACAUUAGCCUGCUGGUCUUACUGAGUCUAUAGGAACAUUAGCCUGCUGGUCUUACUGAGUCUAUAGGAACAUUAGCCUGCUGGUUUUACUGAGUCUAUAGGAACAUUAGCCUGCUGGUCUUACUGAGUCUAUAGGAACAUUAGCCUGCUGGUCUUACUGAGUCUAUAGGAACAUUAGCCUGCUGGUCUUACUGAGUCUAUAGGAACAUUAGCCUGCUGGUCUUACUGAGUCUAUAGGAACAUUAGCCUGCUGGCCUUACUGAGUCUAUAGGAACAUUAGCCUGCUGGUCUUACUGAGUCGAUAGGAACAUUAGCCUGCUGGUUUUACUGAGUCUAUAGGAACAUUAGCCUGCUGGUCUUAUUGAGUAUAUAGGAACAUUAACUAUCAGUCACUAUCCAUGGAAUGCCCACUGCCUUCUAUAUACAGUAUGUAAUGUAUAUUUAAUGUUUGAUCUGAUUUGUUUAAUGAUGGACGAAACAAAAGCUAGUAACAGCAGAGGUCUAUACUGCCCCCUACUGUAGGAACAGCAGAAGUCUAUACUGCCCCCUACUGUAGGAACAGCAGAAGUCUAUACUGCCCCCUACUGUAGGAACAGCAGAGGUCUAU